rnacentral:rRNA from 1 species
AUGAAUAUCGCCCUCCUCUCCCACUGGCUUUGGCGCAUCUCGCAAGGGCACGGUGGCCUUUGGCUUGACAUCAUCCAUAACAAAUACUUGCGCGGACAGCCCCUUGCCUUUUGCCAGAAGUCCGGCGGAUCUCAGUUCUGGCAGUCGAUUGUCCAGCUUCUCCCGGUCCUCCGUAUCGGGACCUCCAUCUCGGUGGGCUCUGGAGCAUCGAUGCUGUUCUGGUUUGAUCACUGGGCCGGGGACACUCCCUUCAUGGCUCACUUUCAUGGCCUCUUCUCCAUCUCCGUCGACCCCGUGAUUUCUAUUGAGAGGGCCCUUCUUGACUUAGGGUGCCUUGCUUUCCGGCGGGCCUUUGGCCCCAUGGAAUCCGUCGCCUGGCGUGAGUUUCUUGACUGUGUUGCUCUCCAUGAACCGAUGGUAGAUGGUGGCCCUGACCUGGUGCAAUGGCGCCUUGAGCCUUCGGGCCAAUUCUCCACCAAGUCAUUGUACAUGGCCAUCGCUCCAUCUUCCGCCCUCCCCCUAUCGAUGGUAUGGUCCAUCCGCCUGCCCCUGAAGAUCCGUAUCUUCAUGUGGCAAUGGAUUCGCGGUCGGAUCCCGUCCGGGGUGGAGGUGCGCAAGCAAAAUGGCCCGGGUACUGGCAUUUCCCUGCUUUGUGGGGUCCCUGAAGACUCGAACCACAUUUUCUUCUCCUGCGUGUCCGCUUAG